UUUUUAAAUUUGAUCGUAUAUUUACACGUAAGAUACUCGAUCGCGCCUCCUCGUGAUGGACGGAUUAAUUUCUGACAGCAACGUCGCGAUUCAUCGUCGCUGAAAAGUGCGAGCAAAUAGGCGGAAGAUAACGAUAACGUCCACGCCAAUAACGACGGUCAGCUAUGAUUAUUAAUCAUGUGCAGGUUGCGCGUGCGAGUGUCAGCGGUGCGUGGGGAGUCUGACUAAUCGUUCCGCCAUUGUGGAAUAAUAUACCUAUGGCAGUCGAGAGCCUCGUUUUGCUUCUGUGUUUCUAUAGUUCAGACGUUACACCAGACUUGCCAGUUUGUUUUGCGCGAUUUCGACCGCGAAUUAUACGAUAUUCAGAAAGCUUUAUUCUUUUAUAAUUGUUAUAUAUUUGUUAGCACUUUUGUAGCCAUCGUUAUUCUGUAAUUUAGAUUGAGAAGCAUAGGCACGAGAAACACGAGAUUAAUAGAGUUGAAAGUUUACCAGAUUGGAAAUUUCUUCUGUUGCGCGGAUGAGCGGAGAUCUUCCAGGGCCAGGAUAUUUUGCGGAAAAGUACGAGAUCCUCCUAAACCAAGGGAAUCCUACCGGCUGCUCGCUUUAUCCUGGAACGGUGCCGCGCUAAUGCAGCAAUAAACAUGCAUCUAUUCGAAGCGGAGUCGCGCCAGACGAGAGAGAACAAGAAGAAUAAUACGCGUCAACGUGAAGGAGGAAGAGGAAGAAGUGGAGGCGAAACUUUUUCAAAAGUUGAAAUGUGAAACGAAAGAAGGAAGAGAAUGAGUUUUACGAAAGUUGGAAAUAUAUGAAUUGAUAGUCGUAACUUCGAUAAUAUUUUUAAUCAAUAAAUUGUCUCAAGAGAAAUAGCAACGUUCGAAACUUUUCUUUCGGAAAAGUUUUAUGAAGUAUUAUUCGCAUGUGAAUAUUGCUUAAAAUUUUGUUUGUAAAACAACAAUAAAGGAAAUUUAAUUGUUUUACAAGAAC